rnacentral:rRNA from 1 species
GCGGACGGGUGAGUAAUGCCUAGAAUCUGCCUGGUAGUGGGGAUAACGUUCGGAAACGGACGCUAAUACCGCAUACGUCCUACGGGAGAAAGCAGGGGACCUUCGGGCCUUGCGCUAUCAGAUGAGCCUAGGUCGGAUUAGCUAGUUGGUGGGGUAAUGGCUCACCAAGGCGACGAUCCGUAACUGGUCUGAGAGGAUGAUCAGUCGCACUGGAACUGAGACACGGUCCAGACUCCUACGGGAGGCAGCAGUGGGGAAUAUUGGACAAUGGGCGAAAGCCUGAUCCAGCCAUGCCGCGUGUGUGAAGAAGGUCUUCGGAUUGUAAAGCACUUUAAGUUGGGAGGAAGGGUUGUAGAUUAAUACUCUGCAAUUUUGACGUUACCGACAGAAUAAGCACCGGCUAACUCUGUGCCAGCAGCCGCGGUAAUACAGAGGGUGCAAGCGUUAAUCGGAAUUACUGGGCGUAAAGCGCGCGUAGGUGGUUAGUUAAGUUGGAUGUGAAAUCCCCGGGCUCAACCUGGGAACUGCAUUCAAAACUGACUGACUAGAGUAUGGUAGAGGGUGGUGGAAUUUCCUGUGUAGCGGUGAAAUGCGUAGAUAUAGGAAGGAACACCAGUGGCGAAGGCGACCACCUGGACUGAUACUGACACUGAGGUGCGAAAGCGUGGGGAGCAAAC